rnacentral:rRNA from 1 species
AGAGUUUGAUCCUGGCUCAGGAUGAACGCUAGCUACAGGCUUAACACAUGCAAGUCGAGGGGCAGCACAGGUAGCAAUACCGGGUGGCGACCGGCGCACGGGUGAGUAACGCGUAUGCAACUUGCCUAUCAGAGGGGGAUAACCCGGCGAAAGUCGGACUAAUACCGCAUGAAGCAGGGGCCCCGCAUGGGGAUAUUUGCUAAAGAUUCAUCGCUGAUAGAUAGGCAUGCGUUCCAUUAGGCAGUUGGCGGGGUAACGGCCCACCAAACCGACGAUGGAUAGGGGUUCUGAGAGGAAGGUCCCCCACAUUGGAACUGAGACACGGUCCAAACUCCUACGGGAGGCAGCAGUGAGGAAUAUUGGUCAAUGGACGAAAGCCUGAACCAGCCAAGUCGCGUGAGGGAUGAAGGUUCUAUGGAUCGUAAACCUCUUUUAUAAGGGAAUAAAGUGCGGGACGUGUCCCGUUUUGUAUGUACCUUAUGAAUAAGGAUCGGCUAACUCCGUGCCAGCAGCCGCGGUAAUACGGAGGAUCCGAGCGUUAUCCGGAUUUAUUGGGUUUAAAGGGUGCGUAGGCGGCCUUUUAAGUCAGCGGUGAAAGUCUGUGGCUCAACCGUAGAAUUGCCGUUGAAACUGGGGGGCUUGAGUAUGUUUGAGGCAGGCGGAAUUCGUGGUGUAGCGGUGAAAUGCUUAGAUAUCACGAAGAACUCCGAUUGCGAAGGCAGCCUGCCAAGCCAUGACUGACGCUGAUGCACGAAAGCGUGGGGAUCAAACAGGAUUAGAUACCCUGGUAGUCCACGCAGUAAACGAUGAUUACUAGCUGUUUGCGAUACACUGUAAGCGGCACAGCGAAAGCGUUAAGUGAUCCACCUGGGGAGUACGCCGGCAACGGUGAAACU